UAGCAAGCAAUUUUCCUUUGCUCUUCCAGAAGUGCUGCAAUGUAAACGACUAGACAGCUUUAUCACUAACCCAAUUCUUCUGUAUAUUUUUAUCACUUUGAAUAUUGCAUUUUAAAGUACAUCAUCUUAGUCUGGUCUGGGGAUGCUAUAAAACCUUUAUCACACACAUAGGCAUGUCACCUAUAGAUACACCAUAAGUGGCUUAAGCAACAUUUAUUUAUUUCUCACAGUUAUGGAGUCUGGGAAGUCCGAGAUGAAGCUGCCUGCAGAUCCAGCGUCUGGUGUGGGUCCCCUUUCUGGUUUGUAGAUGAUAAUGACCACGUGGCAGAGAGCAGAGAGGGAGUAGCUCUCUUUCCCUUGUUAUGUGGACACUAAUCUCAUCAAAGGGGUUCCACCCUCACAAACAAUUUACUUCUAAAAGGUCCCACUUCCCAGUGCUAUCACAUUAGAACUUCAGCAUAUAAAUUUGGAGGAAACACAAGCAUUCAUUCCAUGGUACACCCCUUCUGCUUGUGGAACCAAGGAACCCACCCAGAGAUUGAGUCUUCUGAGAAUGACAUCAGAGAAAGACUGCCCUUGCCACCCACACUGCAACAAAACUUUGGGAUCUUGGAUCUUGGGUUAAUAAUCUCGCAAUUCAGAAGGACUUCUCCAGACUCUUAGAUGUGAACCUUCACUGGAGACCUUAAGAUGAUGUCAGCUGAAAAGACUUGAAGACUGCAGAUGAAUCAAAGGCAGGAGUGUCUCCAUGGCUGGGGAAAGAAAUCAUCUGAAGUCAUCUUCAUUCACAUGUUUAGCUGUUGAUACUGCCUGUUGUCAGGACUCUCAGCUGGGGCUGUCCCAUGGAAACUUAUGUAUGGCCUCUCCAUGUAGCCUGGGUUGCCUCACAGCAUGACGGCCUUGGACAUCUUACCUGGUGCUCAGGGCUCCAAAGGCAAGUAGUCCAAAAGAACCAGGUGAAAGCUGUAUCACCUUUUGUAACCUAGCUUCAGAAUCAGAUAGCAUCACUUCUACCAUACCCAGCGUCACCCAGCAACAAGAGGAGGAACAUAGAUAUCACUUCUUGACAGGAGGGAUGUAUGUCACUGAGAUUAUGGGCUGGUGCUGUAUGCUUUUGGAUAGUAGAUGGAGGAAAACAAGAAAAAGUGGUCAUGGUGCAAUAGUCAUCUGAUACUUUCAACAUUUACCAUGGCUUCCAUUCGCUCUACAGACUCCAGAUGAACUCGGUUUUCCAAUAUCAACUCUACCAAUCCCUACCCUCCAGUACCAGGACGUUCAGCAUAGCUGAAGGAUGUCACAAAAUUAUGAUGUAGUAUUCUCUAUGUUUUUCUUAAGUUGUAACUUCACUUAAGUUUCAUAGGUACUUAGCAAUUUUUGUAUACUUCUUGCUGCAAGAAUCAUGGUGACUGUUUCAAGGAUCUUACAAUUUGCUUUUGCCAUUUAGUAUAGUCUGCCUUAUGUUUUAUGUGUGUGUGUUUGUAUGUGUAUAAUUUCUGACUACAUCCUAGAGCUUGGUCCUAAGUUUUAAUAAAUUUUUACAGCCUCUAAGUCCAUAUUUAUUUAACAAAUAUUUAUUGAAUAAAUUAUAUGUGUUAGACAUGUUAUAAACAUAAAGAA
rnacentral:lncRNA from 1 species